rnacentral:rRNA from 1 species
UGCGUAGGCGGCGCGGUAAGUCGGGUGUGAAAUCUCGGAGCUUAACUCCGAAACUGCAUUCGAUACUGCCGUGCUUGAGGACUGGAGAGGAGACUGGAAUUUACGGUGUAGCGGUGAAAUGCGUAGAUAUCGUAAGGAAGACCAGUGGCGAAGGCGGGUCUCUGGACAGUUCCUGACGCCGAGGCACGAAGGCCAGGGGAGCAAACG